rnacentral:rRNA from 1 species
UACGUAGGGGGCAAGCGUUGUCCGGAAUUAUUGGGCGUAAAGAGCGUGUAGGCGGUCCGGUAAGUCGGCUGUGAAAGUCCAGGGCUCAACCCUGGGAUGCCGGUCGAUACUGCCGGACUAGAGUUCGGAAGAGGCGAGUGGAAUUCCCGGUGUAGCGGUGAAAUGCGCAGAUACAAUCAAGAACUCCGAUUGCGUAGGCAGCUAACUAGGCUGUAACUGACGCUGAGGCACGAAAGCGUGGGGAGCGAACAGG